rnacentral:rRNA from 1 species
CCUACGGGUGGCUGCAGUGGGGAAUAUUGGACAAUGGGCGAAAGCCUGAUCCAGCCAUGCCGCGUGUGUGAAGAAGGCCUUCGGGUUGUAAAGCACUUUCAGUGGGGAAGAAAGCCUUGGGGCUAAUACCCUCGAGGAAGGACAUCACCCACAGAAGAAGCACCGGCUAACUCCGUGCCAGCAGCCGCGGUAAUACGGAGGGUGCGAGCGUUAAUCGGAAUUACUGGGCGUAAAGCGCGAGUAGGCGGUCUGAUAAGCCGGUUGUGAAAGCCCCGGGCUCAACCUGGGAACGGCAUCCGGAACUGUCAGGCUAGAGUGCAGGAGAGGAAGGUAGAAUUCCCGGUGUAGCGGUGAAAUGCGUAGAGAUCGGGAGGAAUACCAGUGGCGAAGGCGGCCUUCUGGACUGAGACUGACGCUGAGGUGCGAAAGCGUGGGUAGCAAACAGGAUUAGAUACCCCAGUAGUC